UUUUAUCUCCAAAUCCAAGGUAUGGCUAUGGGGACCAGAUUUGCCCCAAGUUAUGCCAAUCUUUUUAUGUCCUCCUGGGAGGAGAAAUGUGUCUUCUCCAGGGAGGACAUUGGGGCAAGUCUGGUCCUAUAUAGAUGUUAUAUAGAUGAUAUCUUUAUAGUUUGGAAAGGGAGUAAGGAAACCCUAGAAGAAUUUAUUUUAUCUCUCAAUAAAAAUAUUUUUAAUAUUAGUCUAUCUUAUGAAAUUAGCCCUCAACAAAUUAACUUUUUAGAUUUAAAUAUAUAUGUAGAAAAUAAUCUAGUUAAAAGUAAGACUUUUUUUAAAAACAGUUGAUGUAAACAGUUUUAUUGAUUUAAGAAGUUGCCAUUUUAAACCAUGGUUGGAGAAUAUACCAAAAGGCCAGUUCUUAAGGAUGAAAAGAAAU